rnacentral:rRNA from 1 species
UACAGAGGUCUCAAGCGUUGUUCGGAUUCAUUGGGCGUAAAGGGUGCGUAGGUGGCGCCGUAAGUGGGGUGUGAAAUCUCGGGGCUUAACUCCGAAACUGCAUUCCAUACUGCGGUGCUCGAGGACUGGAGAGGAGACUGGAAUUUACGGUGUAGCAGUGAAAUGCGUAGAGAUCGUAAGGAAGACCAGUGGCGAAGGCGGGUCUCUGGACAGUUCCUGACACUGAGGCACGAAGGCCAGGGGAGCAAACGGG